CUGUGCAGGGGGAGGGAGAGAAGGGAGCUAGACUGGACACAUGCCCUCAGGCAACAACUUCACCUCCCUCUAGUCUACUUUCUCUCAUUCACCCUUCUCCCUUGUCUCCUUCUUCUCACUCAUCUCUACCCUCUGUCCUCUCACUCAUCUCUACCCUCUGUCCUCUUCUCUCUCCUCUCACUCCUCUCUACCCUCUCACUCCUCUCUACCCUCUCUCCUCUCACUCCUCUACACUCUCUCCUCUACCCUCUCUCCUCUCUCUCCUCUCUACCCUCUCUCCUCUCACUCCUCUCUACCCUCUCUCCUCUCACUCCUCUCUACCCUCUCUCCUCUCACUCCUCUCUACCCUCUCUCCUCUCACUCCUCUCUACCCUCUCUCUCCUCUCUACCCUCUCUCCUCUCACUCCUCUCUACCCUCUGUCCUCUCACUCAUCUCUACCCUCUGUCCUCUUCUCUCUCCUCUCACCCCUCUGUCCUCUUCUCUCUCCUCUCACCCCUCUGUCCUCUUCUCUCUCCUCUCUACCCUCUCUCCUCUCACUCCUCUCUACCCUCUGUCCUCUCACUCCUCUCUGUCCUCUCACUCCUCUCUGUCCUCUCACUCCUCUCUACCCUCUGUCCUCUCACUCAUCUCUACCCUCUGUCCUCUCACUCAUCUCUACCCUCUGUCCUCUCACUCAUCUCUACCCUCUGUCCUCUCACUCAUCUCUACCCUCUGUCCUCUCACUCAUCUCUACCCUCUGUCCUCUCACUCAUCUCUACCCUCUGUCCUCUCACUCAUCUCUACCCUCUCUCCUCUCACUCAUCUCUACCCUCGGUCCUCUCACUCAUCUCUACCCUCUCUCUGUCUCAUCUCCUCUCUCUCUCUCUCAUCUCCUCUCUCUCUCUCUCUCAUCUCUACCCUUUUCCCUGUAUCUGAGAGAAAUUACCUGCAUCGAAUACAACAGGUGUAGACCUUACUGUGAAAUGCUUACUUACAAGCCCUUAACCAACAAUGCAGUUAAGAAAAUAGAGUUGGAAAACAUUUACUUAAUAAACUAA
rnacentral:lncRNA from 1 species